rnacentral:sRNA from 1 species
GCUGGGCAGGUGCACAUGCCUGUAAUCCCAGUGGCUUGGGAGGCUGAGACAGAAGGAUCACAAGUUUGAGGCCAGCCUCAGUAAUUUGGUGAGGCUCUAAACAACUUAGUAAGACCCUGUCUCAA